rnacentral:rRNA from 1 species
CCUACGGGUUGCAGCAGUGGGGAAUAUUGGACAAUGGGGGCAACCCUGAUCCAGCCAUGCCGCGUGUGUGAAGAAGGCCUUCGGGUUGUAAAGCACUUUCAGAUGUGAGGAAAGGUGAGUAGUUAAUACCUGCUUACUGUGACGUUAGCAUCAGAAGAAGGACCGGCUAACUCCGUGCCAGCAGCCGCGGUAAUACGGAGGGUCCGAGCGUUAAUCGGAAUUACUGGGCGUAAAGCGCGCGUAGGUGGUUUUGUCAGUCAGAUGUGAAAGCCCAGGGCUCAACCUUGGAACUGCACCUGAUACUGCAAGACUAGAGUACAAUAGAGGGGAGUGGAAUUUCCGGUGUAGCGGUGAAAUGCGUAGAGAUCGGAAGGAACACCAGUGGCGAAGGCGACUCCCUGGAUUGAUACUGACACUGAGGUGCGAAAGCGUGGGGAGCAAACAGGAUUAGAUACCCCAGUAGUC